GCUCCCUGGAAGGAACAGAGCAAGAACCGAGGUAGCAACACUACAAAAGGAGAGGCACUAAUUUAAUUCAGUCAGGUAGUGUGUUUUCUGUUCUCUCAUUGCAAGACCAAUAUUGCCUCUUUCCAUCUGUGCCUUUGAGUGGCAGAGCUCAGCAGAAUAAUUGUGCAAAGAAUGCACACACAAUCAAAAUGUCCCCAAAAAAUCAUUUCCAAGGGGGGAUCUCUACAAUACUGCUUUCUUCUUUGCUCCAAGAGUUAGCGACGCUCCCGCUCUUUUUUCCUGUGAGGACAUCCACAUUAAAAUCACAGUGGUAAGGUCUGCAAGACUCUAAGCAACCUGCUACAACUUCAAAAUGAGCCCUGCUUUGAGUGGGAGGUUGGACUAGAGACCUUCCUCAGUCCCUUCCUACCUCAGUUUUGCUACAAUUCUGUGAGCCCCAAGCAGCCAGUGCUAGAAAUGCUUGGUCCCUGCCAUCUCCUCAUGUGUGCUUUUGUGCACAGAUCCAUGUGUUUCUCUGAACAUGAUGAAGAAUCUGAUUAAGCUCAACAGCUCAGGAAAUGUGAGACCAAAAAAGCACGUGACAACGUGCAGAAUGCUGUGGUCACAUCAGACAUGACCAUGAAAAAAAAGAAAGACUGUCACAUCAGCAGCUUUUUCAUCAGUGUGCACAAAAGAAUUUUACAAAUCCUGCUCAAAGCCUCACAACCCAACUGUGGGACAAGGAAACAUUAUCUUUAUUUUAGAGAUGAAAAAGCAAAAGGUCAGAAAACCUGGGAUGGUUACUCAGAGCAAACAAAGAACUUCUCAUCAUGCUAUUCUGGACUUGCUGGAACUGCAAUCACAAAAAAAAAAGAGAGAGUCAUCAGUCUUUGCUGAUGACUUGGAGUUACCAGCUGCUUUUCGUGCUGUAGCCCAAGGAAGUGCUUACUCACUGGGGGUGAUAGGAAUGCUUUGCAGGAAGCACUACCAGAGAAGGGAACUGCAUCAGUUCACCUCCUCCUCCAAGGAAGAGCUCGUCCUGCCAGGGAGGACAAUAGGAGGGGACUCCAGCAGAGGAACCAAGCUCCCAUGCUGCUUCUUGAACAGCCAGGCCUGGAGGCACCAACAGCUGCUCAGCCUUAAGGGAUCUGAUUUGUUUGUCUGGAGAGCUGGAAGUCUGAAGAAACCUCCAGGGAAUACCCAUACGUUUUGAGGAUGCAGAGAAUGGGAAGAGUCUGAUUCCUGGAGGAAACCAACAAAUCCUUUGCAAAUCCACUUCGUGCCUGCACAAGCUGUAGGUAGGAAAACUUGCUUAUUGUGAUGCCCUCUCCUGGCUGGAAUAAAUUCUGCUGGUGGUGUCCCUGUCCCUCGAGUGUGACACGUCCGCAGCUCAAUGGGGAAUGAGGCAUUUUGUGAGCCAAAAUUAAAAACAUUUAAAUUCAUGGACAAUCUCAUCAGGGACUAUUUUUAACCCAUCAGGAAAGAGGGAAGGAAGAUUACCUUCGA